GCGGCUACGCGACGUAUGUUGAUGGGUUUGGUCGAGGUUAUCGACCACACGAAUAGUAUAUACAUACACAUACAUGUUAUAGAAGAAUAGAAUAACGGAGCUCAAAAUGAAACCGAUUUUCAAAGGGGGAACGUUCUUUAAGUCAAAACUAUGGCGUAGAAGUAAAGUGAAGAUGGAAGCUAAGCUAAUAAGAGAGUUCACAUCGGAGAACCACUGAUCCACUUUGCAGGGUGCAACGCUCCGAGGUUCGCGAGUACUAUUGCAUCGCAAGAGGAAUGGCAUCCCAACGGUAACCUUCGAAUGGACACCUCGUGACGGAAUACGCAACAGUGGAGAGAUAAAUCUAAGCAUCUAGCGAAAUAUAUUUGCUCGCAAGUUUGAAUGAGAAUAAUUUUUCAUUAAAGAUUUGGCCAAUCGAACCAAAUCAGAAAUAAAACGAGUUCGAUUGGAUUGAAAAACGGAGAAGAACUGUUGUCGAAUGAAUAUAAUACUUAUCGAUUCGAUUACUAGUAAUAAUUAAGAUCUAUUAAAUAUAGUAGUAUCCAUUUAAAGAUUAUUGGAGAAAAAUAAAAUGAAAAUUUGAAGAGUGAGAUCACAAAGCCAAACCAGGACAAAUUUUCGCGGUCACUGACCUAUCCCCACCCCAAAGUGUGUUGAUUGCACGUACCGAGUAGAUUCAUCGAUGUACUAUCAUUGGCAGAAUAACGAGAAGCCAUCUGCACCACCACUACCACUACAACCCCCCAACGGUUACAACCCACCGCAGAGUUAGCAGA